AGAGCGAACGCUGGCGGCAUGCUUAACACAUGCAAGUCGCACGGUCAGCAAUGGCAGUGGCGGACGGGUGAGUAACGCGUAGGAAUCUAUCUUCUGGUGGGGGACAACAGUGGGAAACUACUGCUAAUACCGCAUGAUGCCUGAGGGCCAAAGCAGUAAUGCGCCUGGAGAGGAGCCUGCGUCUGAUUAGCUUGUUGGUGGGGUAAAGGCUUACCAAGGCGACGAUCAGUAGCUGGUCUGAGAGGAUGAUCAGCCACAUUGGGACUGAGACACGGCCCAAACUCCUACGGGAGGCAGCAGUGGGGAAUAUUGGACAAUGGGGGCAACCCUGAUCCAGCAAUGCCGCGUGUGUGAAGAAGGUCUUCGGAUUGUAAAGCACUUUUGGCAGGGACGAUGAUGACGGUACCUGCAGAAUAAGCCCCGGCUAACUUCGUGCCAGCAGCCGCGGU
rnacentral:rRNA from 1 species